AUUGAACGCUGGCGGCAGGCUUAACACAUGCAAGUCGAGCAGGGUGAUGGUGCUUGCACUAUCACUUAGCGGCGGACGGCUGAGUAACGCUUAGGAAUCUGCCUAUUAGUGGGGUACAACAUCUCGAACGGGAUGCUAAUACCGCAUCCGUCCUACGGGAGAAAGCAGGGGAUCACUUGUGACCUUGCGCUAAUAGCUGGGCAUACGUCGGAUUAGCUAGUUGGUGGGGUAAAGGCCUACCAAGGCGACGAUCUGUAGCGGGUCUGAGAGGAUGAGCCGCCACACUGGGACUGAGACACGGCCCAGACUCCUACGGGAGGCAGCAGUGGGGAAUAUUGGUCAAUGGGGGGAACCCUGAUCCAGCCAUGCCGCGUGUGUGAAGAAGGCCUUAUGGUUGUAAAGCACUUUGAGCGAGGAGGAGGCUCUUUUGGUUAAUACCCAAGAUGAGUGGACGUUACUCGCAGAAUAAGCACCGGCUAACUCUGUGCCAGCCGCCGCCGUAA
rnacentral:rRNA from 1 species